rnacentral:rRNA from 1 species
UACAUAGGGGGCAAGCGUUGUUCGGAAUUACUGGGCGUAAAGGGCGCGUAGGCGGCCUUCUAAGUCGAACGUGAAAUCCCCGGGCUCAACCCGGGAACUGCGUCCGAUACUGGAAGGCUUGAAUCCGGGAGAGGGAUGCGGAAUUCCAGGUGUAGCGGUGAAAUGCGUAGAUAUCAGGAGGAACACCGGUGGCGAAGGCGGGUCUCUGGGCAGAUACUGACGCUGAGAAGCGAAAGCAUGGGGAGCGAACAGG